UUAGUACUCCCUCCGUACAAAAAUAGUUGUCGAUGAAAUGGAUGUAUCUAGAUGUAUUUUAGUUGUAGAUACAUUCAUUUCUAUCCAUUUAUGUGACAAGUAAUUCUGGACGGAGGGAGUACUUU
rfam:Triticum aestivum genome assembly, contig: Triticum_aestivum_CS42_TGACv1_scaffold_223477_3B